CAGUGGGGAAUAUUGGACAAUGGGCGAAAGCCUGAUCCAGCCAUGCCGCGUGUGUGAAGAAGGUCUUCGGAUUGUAAAGCACUUUAAGUUGGGAGGAAGGGCAGUAAAUUAAUACUUUGCUGUUUUGACGUUACCGACAGAAUAAGCACCGGCUAACUCUGUGCCAGCAGCCGCGGUAAUACGGAGGGUGCAAGCGUUAAUCGGAAUUACUGGGCGUAAAGCGCGCGUAGGUGGUUCGUUAAGUCGGAUGUGAAAUCCCCGGGCUCAACCUGGGAACUGCAUUCAAAACUGGCGAGCUAGAGUAUGGUAGAGGGUGGUGGAAUUUCCUGUGUAGCGGUGAAAUGCGUAGAUAUAGGAAGGAACACCAGUGGCGAAGGCGGCCACCUGGACUGAUACUGACACUGAGGUGCGAAA
rnacentral:rRNA from 1 species